AUUGCACUCGUCCCGGCCUGCU
rnacentral:miRNA from 1 species